ensembl:lncRNA MTUS2-AS1 MTUS2 antisense RNA 1
CCAUAAUAAUAAAUUUUUUAGCUACCAUUACCUACACGCACAUGGCCUUGACAUCAUUUAUAAUUCAAAGACCUGGAAUGUGGUGUCUGAGUGAGACUUCGUUAGUCAGAAAAAUCCACCAGAUUUAUGUGAAAAUCCAGAAAGAAAAGGCAACACCAUGGCUCACUGCACCAUUUCCACUCACGUUCUUUCUUGUGAGACCAGCUUCCUCUAGUGACAGAUUUCAGGGCGUUUUCAAAGGAUCCCAAUGCCCCAAGGGAAAAGAAGAGGCAGUAUCCAUUCUGAAGAUGACAUAAACCAUUGCUAACUGUGUCUUCAUCAUGUAUUUCUUUAUUUCAAGCUCAUGACACUGUCUCACGCUUAAUACGGUGUUUAACACAAUGGUCCUCAAGUUUUCCUGCGUAUUAGAAUCACCUAGGGAGUUUUAAAGCCUUCUGAUGCCUGGGCUGCACCCCAGAGCAAUUAAAUUGGAAUAUCAGAGGAGCCAACAGGAAAAAAUGCACCAGGAGGGAAAGACAGGAAAGGAGGGACAAGAGAGGAAGGGGGGCUCCACACAUCUGCAGCAGGAAAGGCUCGGAUUGCACCACCCACCCCUGCCUGCUGCACACGAGGCUGGGAGCUACCUUGGACUUUGUGGUCGUGGUCAUCCUGCAGGAUUGUGAUGGCAACUGUGUGGUUAUUUUCCAUCUCUAGGAGAGCAGCAUCAUGGCUGGCGGUGAGAUCUUCCACCUGGAGGAGAGUCGCAGUUACUGGUUAGACAGAGAGCUGCUUGGAGAACAGAAGUGGAAUUCCGUGAGUGGAAAAGGUCCGUGACCCAAAACAUCAAUGACAAGUCACAGCCUUGUGCCGAAGCAGGAGAGCUGGACUUUGGUGGUGAUGUGGCAGCCCUCGGAAUCACGGGGAGGUCACUGCCACAACCUGGCUCUUUGUAGGGGGGUCCAACUCCAGGCAGGGGAUCACUGCCUGAGGUACCUCUUUAGAGUCCUGAGUGUGGCUCCUGGACCAUCCCCUUCCCACUGCUUGUCCACGCGCUUGCACCGCUAUGAGCGAUGACGGCAAAGGAAAAGAAAAGCGUCCUCCCUACGAGGUGGUCUGUUUCCCAGUGGCAGGGGGAGCUACGGUACACAAGCACAGGUUCACAUUUAUGAAGCAGCCAAUAAGAAUUCCCAGCCUGAGAGGACCUUGGAACCAGAAGGAAUUGGAGGAGAUUUAAACAAGCUGACCCAAGGAAAGCACAAGAUCUUUCUAUGCAUUGAAGAUCACCAAAUCAAAGAUAAAAGUGCUCGACCAUUAUGGCCUAUGGCAAACUCGGGCUGGCUGAAGCAUCCUUCUCUUCCAUUUAGAACCCUGGUGAGGCCCCUUAGACCACCACUGGGCUGUCCUCCUCCCUCCUCAGAGACAGAGUUCUGGGCUGGGCCAUGGAGGUGUCUGUCAACACGGCAGUAGUCCUCGUUCUAUGGAAAACCAGCUGUUCCCUGUGACACGACUCCAUUCCCGCAGCUGCCUGCUAUUCAGCUGGGCUGACGGACAGCAGAGCACAGGGUUGGAAGACCACCCUCUCAGACAGGUUUACCAAGAAGCUCACUGAGAGGCGACACAAACGGCCAAGAACAUGAAAAGACGGUCAGUGCCCUUGCAGAUGGAAGCAGGCAAUCAUUUUUCACCUGCAAGGCUGAUAAAGAUGAAAUGUUCUGAUAAUACAGGAAGAGUAUAAGGAAACUGUCACUCGAUGGACUCCAGGUGAAAUAUAACUAAUCCAGCUGCCUUGGAGGGAAAAGAUAUCUUUCAAAAUUGAAAUGACAGGAAUGGCAGCAUUAUGGGUGGGAGAUAAAGAAUCUGGGUUUCUUUCAGGGGUGAUGAAAAUGUUCUAAAACGGAUUGUGGUGACAGUUUUCCACAACUCGGAAUAUACUGAAAACCACCACAUUGUAUACUUAAAUGGGUGGGUUGUAUGGUAUGUGAAUUAUAUCUCAAUAAAAUUUUUACCAAAAGA